UCGAAUCCGAGGAAGGGCUUUUUUUUCCGGUAUGCCGCUCCUCCAGCAAGGAGCGAGAGAACAAAUUCAGACCUAUUAUGUCACCUUUCUUGUUUAGGGGCCUUCUCUCUCUUAUUGCAACCUUUCUGGGGCAUUUCGCUGUUAGACUAAUGCCAAUUCGAAUAACUGGUAAGUGUCUCAUGCUCUUCCUUUUAGUGAUUCU
rnacentral:lncRNA from 1 species